rnacentral:siRNA from 1 species
AUCAACCGAUUUAUUGAAUUCGAG